rnacentral:rRNA from 1 species
UUAUUGGAGAGUUUGAUCCUGGCUCAGGAUGAACGCUGGCGGCGUGCCUAAUACAUGCAAGUCGAGCGAAUGGAUUAAGAGCUUGCUCUUAUGAAGUUAGCGGCGGACGGGUGAGUAACACGUGGGUAACCUGCCCAUAAGACUGGGAUAACUCCGGGAAACCGGGGCUAAUACCGGAUAACAUUUUGAAC